rnacentral:rRNA from 1 species
UCCUACCGGAGGCANCAGUGAGGAAUAUUGCGCAAUGGGGGCAACCCUGACGCAGCAACGCCGCGUGUGGGAAGAAGGCUUUCGGGUUGUAAACCACUUUUGCCCGGGACGAAAGGGGGGACCUGAAUAAGGUUGCCCGAUGACGGUACCGGGAGAAUAAGCCACGGCUAACUCUGUGCCAGCAGCCGCGGUAAGACAGAGGUGGCAAGCGUUGUUCGGAGUUACUGGGCGUAAAGAGUCUGUAGGUGGUCUGUCAAGUCUUUGGUGAAAGCCCCUGGCUUAACCAUGGGAAUGCCAAAGAGACUGGCAGACUGGAGGCUGGGAGAGGGAAGCGGAAUUUCUGGUGUAGCGGUGAAAUGCGUAGAUAUCAGAAGGAAGGCCGGUGGCGAAGGCGGCUUCCUGGAACAGACCUGACACUGAGAGACGAAAGCGUGGGGAGCAAACAGGAUUAGAUACCCUGGUAGUCCACGCCCUAAACGAUGGGUACUAAGUGUGGGAGGGUUAGACCUCUCUUCGCGCAGCCAUCCCAGGAA